AAUUAUUUACAAGUGGCAUGCCCAAACUUAAGAUUACUAUCCUCUGUCGUCUUUUAGGUUUCUGGCCAACUCUUCCUCUACCCACCUCCUAGAAGCUUCUCCGACGGUUCUAUAUCGUAAUCAGAUUACGGAGAGGCUUCGGACUCUCAGGUGCUACUCGAAUCCCAAUCCAGUAGAAGUUUUCUUCGACCUGCAGAGAGGAAUGACGCAGAAGAUGAGCCUCAUGCUAAAUGGGGAUUUUCUUCGGCGGCUGUUAAGGAGACUUGAUCAAAAGUGACAAGAAGCUAGAUGGUCAGCAUCGUGGAAGUUGGUUCCAGAGGCAUGCCGAACAAAGAGGGAUCAAUAAGGCCAAUUCAUCUUCAUUGUCUAAGAUUCUCCGUCGUAACUAAUAACACGAAGAAGGUCGUCAACGCCGAAGAGACGAUGAGUCUUUUCAUCUCACCGACUAACUGUUUCCCAGCAAUAUCUGUUGGAACCUAACACCGAGUGUCUCAUCAUACGACUUUCCGACUUACCGCUAACGGAAAUCGGUUGAAUUGAGGCGUGGGCUUUAAUGUCCUCUCCCCACUCCUCCACGAUUUGUCAUUGAAUGCAUUAAUUCUCCAUUAAUUCCAUUGUGUUAAUAUUCGAUUAUAAAAAGAUCAGGUGAUUGACGGAAGGGGAGGGAUAGAGAUGGCUACAGGAGAAGAUCAAAUGCAAGUGUGAAAGAAAGAGUAAGGAUGACGUGGUAGAUUGGAAGUGUAUCAUUGAUGAAACGGUCAUAUACAUGAGCUAUCGUUCCGUUUUCGACCAUCCAAUAUACCCACUGCAUCUACUUUUGAUAGAGUGUUUGGCCUUGCAAGUUGUAAGGAGGUGUACGAUCGAUCAAGAGGCGAAUGAAGUUGCUCUCUCUGUUGUUAGUGGGGUUCACUUUUAGGCAUGUUGCUUAAAUGAUAGAGCUGAAGAAAGAUUUAACAGUUAAGGUACAAGCUUUUCAUUUCAUAAACAUUGUGCUUGCAUUCGCUGAUGGAAAGCUUUAUUUUCUUUUGGUUAUUGUAAUCUGACGGCUGGGGUUCACGUUUGGUUUUAAACAUGUUUAUGACAUCACAUGAACACUUUUUCACUGAAACCUUGAGAAAGAUCCAUAAAAGAAGGUAACAUGGCUCAGACUUCCAGGUACAUACCUACUGUCGAGUGUCUCUUUUGCUAAGAUGCAGCAGAAUGCAUACUUGCAGGUACAUACACUAUUUUAAUCAUCCAUACUCAUCUGUUAAUUUUCAUUUGUCGAGGUACUUACCAACCAAGAAAGCCAUGACUGAAACUUAAAUCUGGAUUUGUACCUUGCUGAAGAAUGUGGAUCCUCAACGUCACAUGAAGUAGCUUAAGCAGUGAUAUACUUAGGAGGAUCCAUUGUGGUAUUUAAAGGUUAGAAUGCUGCAAUUUACCAUUGUGGCAUAUGGACAGUGAGAUAUGGAAGUGAUUCGGAUAGGGAACAAUGCCACCACUCUUUAUUUUCCUGUUCAUAGGAAUGUGUAUUGAAGAAAGGAGCACUCCAUUAGAUUUAAUAACACAAUUUGCAAGUACACAUACACACCAUCUAUUUAAUAAAUUGUAUUCUAUGCACAAAGUAGAUGUCUGAUUAUGUGUUUGUGUGACAUUGAGAUUCUCAUUAUGAUGAUCAGUUGAGAUGAUGUGUGGAAAAUAAUAACCAACGAGUUUUUAAAUUUCAAA